UCAACCGUUGACAGCGGAGUUUAAGCUAGACAUACAUCAUCUCUGCUGAUAUCUACAUGGUAGCAACAUUUUUGGACUGACUUAUUUUGUAUGUGUAACUUAGCUAGCUAAAUACAUCAAGGGCACACAUAUAGAUACGUUCACACGUUAUCCACGAAGCCACCGUUCGAUUCUGUUGAGCCUAGGAGGAAGAAGAGUUCGGAGCGUAUCAAAAUAAACUGAAGAGGUGGCCAGCUUGUCCCAGAGGGUAGCAGAGUUGGCCAGUCAUCUGGCCAGGGGGGACAGAGAGAGGGGCUCCCUGAGCUCCCAGCUGGACGAGACCCUAUGCAAACUCACAUCACAGGAGCAGGACACCAGCAGCAAGACGAGGACGUCAAUCGUUACAGAACCACCCACCAACAAAGGACCAAGCAGCGGGGUUAGGAGGAGCAGCAAUAUCUGGAGAAAUGGACAUGGGAGGAGAUAUUGGACGGCAAGGCACCCUGGAGACAGGCUGGGGAAUAUCGCCGCCCCAAAGAAGAACUGGAGGCAGCUAAAGCUGAGCGGCGGUGAUAUGAGCCCAGUGCAGUCUGUUGAGAGAAAGAGAGAAGAAGAAGAGGAAGAUGGGAUGCCAAUAGCCUGCUGCCCGAUUUGGGCUCCUCGAAUGUGGGAUGAGAAGACCUCAACCUGGGAAUGAGGUGGAGCAGCUAUUCUUGGAGAAGGAGCAUCUUGAGGAGAGUGUUGAGAAGUUGAGAGCUCGCUGUACAGAGAUGGACGAGCAGCGUGUAGAACAUGGGAGGAUGCACCAGCGCAUGAAGAACAGGUGCUGACACACAGGGUUGGGUAGGUUACUUUCUAAAUGUAAUCCAUUACAUUUACUAGUUACCUGUCCAAAAUUUUAAUCAGUAACGUAACUUUUGGAUUACCCAAACUCAGUAACAUAAUCUGAUUACAUUGAGUUACUUUUAAAUUACUUACCCCUUAAGAGGCAUUAGAAGAAGACAAAAAUGUAUGUUACUAAUUGAACAACAUCUAUUGCACGAUAAUGAUAAAUCGAUGUUAAAGUUUACAUUGUUGGCCAUAUAUAGAUGCCACAUUUUACUUUAUGGUUUGGUUAUGUAGGCUUCUUCUAACCCAUCGCUUUCUACUACAAUAAUAUGAUUAAAUUACAUCUUUACAUUAAAAACCAAAGUCUAUCAGAAUUUUAGUCAUUCCAAUAAAAGUUAUACCCCUUGAUCUUCAAGAAAAGGACUUAGAAAUAUGGCAGUAAAGAUUAGCCAAAUUGUUUUACUUGAGCAUAACCCCAAACUAAAGACUUAUUAGCCAGCCCUCUGUUGUUCAUGAUUUUGUUGUCAUGAAGGACUGAUUGGGCUCAUUGAUUCGAGUUGAAAAAGAAAUGCUGCGUUCAUGGAAUGGCAUGUUUUGAGCACUACUGAAAGUGCUAUUUACAUGUGAAAAAUGAAAGCAAUAUGCUGCAUUUGAUAUAGGCCUAUUGUUUACCUUUUUUUGUGACAGCUGUUUAAAGGGCAAACCCACAGAUGAAACAACAAAAUGGUUGCCCUGCCUCUGUUUUGGUAAAAAGCUGAGGGAUGGGCCUGGAGAAAUGUAACCACUCUCUGAUUAAUAGACAGAGCCAUGGAUGCAAGGACUGACCAUCCAUGAUAUCAAAAUUACUGUUUUAAUCAUGUUAUAAGUCUAUCAAAAGUGUGCGAGUCCAUUAGGCAUAUGGAUUUUAUUUUUAUCAGCAUCAAUUAGAUUGAGCAAUAAAAGCCCCACUUUUAUUCCACAGGCUGGGAUCCACACUAUGCAGCUGUUGAAAGCUCAUUGUUCACUGGUUGUCCACUGGUUUCAAAAACAUUGAUUGAUAGGCAGCUUAAAAUUCUUGAAUUCAACCAUUAUUGGGUUCAAAUACACAUUUAGAUUUGUGAACAGCCAUCCACAACAACCACAAUCCGUAAGGUGCAAAUAGCUAAAUGAGAGAGCAGUAAUAUCCAUAUCACUGUAGACUACACCACUGCUGUCAUCCUUACCUCCAAGCGUUUAUUCAAGUUGGAAAAUCUUUGGAUGCCGACAGCAGUUGCACCAUUUGAAGACAUAGCUUGUACUGUAGCCUACAAAAGCCUAUUCCUGCACUUUUCCCGCGAUCGAUCAAACACAUUUGGUGUGUCAUCAUAGUGGUCUCUGACUUGUGGUCAGACUCGCUCGGGUGGAACAAAAUUAAGCUUCAGCCUUUUUUCAAUGCUGAUUUGAAUGUCAUUGAGAAAACAGAGUAGUGUCAAAGAUUUUUUCUAGUAGUGUCAAAAGUAUCUGUAAUUGUUUUUUUGUAAUCCCUUACAUGUAACAGAUUACAUGUAAUCCAUUACUCCCCAACCCUGCUGACACACACCCUGGAUUAUGGAAGGAUAUUGCUAAACCAUGAAGUGCGGAUAGAUUUUCUAGGAUCUAGGAUCAAACCUUCUCAUGUUGAAGAAGUACUGUAGCGAUUAGAGGACAUGGAGAGGAUGAAGAGUGAACAGAAUUUGAAGUAUAAACAAUAGUGACUAACAGUAAGCCAUCGGUAGAGUUAGAGUAUAUUGUAUCUACUAGUGGCCAGUACAGUACCUGGUUCUCUUCCUAUCUGAGUCAGAAGCUGACACAUUAUGCAGGAUACGGCCCACAGCUCCGAGCCCAGGUCCGCCUGGCACACAGCCUGGUAGUGCCACGUGGGCGAGGGUGUGUGGGCGUCACCGCCCUGCUAGUGUUCCACUGAGGCUUCUGCUGGGAGCCUGUAUCGCCCCCGCCCACCCUCCGCUCUCAAUGUAACGCUCCAUAUUGUUUAACACCCACUGUCACCAACAUGAAGAAAAAGAGAGAAAAAAUUGGCAAAAAAAACAAAGUUUAGAGAGAAUUGCAGCUGUCAGGUUGUUCACAUUGUGAAUCUCAGGAGGCACCGUGGGAGAAAACAAGUCUGUUUGCUAUAGGUGUCUUGCCAUUUGAGAUAUACUAGAGGUCAUUUUUUUGUGGUUUACUUGUUUGUGCACUGUUAAUGAAACUUUAAGGCAAAUUGCAUGUCUACUGUAAAGACAUUGUUAUUGUAAAACGUUUAAUUUGGUUCUAUACCCCAGCAUUUUUAAUUAAAAAAAUUAUAUGCGACGGAAGUACAGAAUGUCACCUUUUCUUUGAGAGUAUUUUCAUGCAUAUCUGUUUACCUUAUAGAAUUCAAAGCACUUUAUGUAUCUAGUCCCCCCUUUUUGAAGGUGUCAUACAUAUUUGGACAAAUUCACCUGUAUUGUAGUAAAGUCGUCAAGUUUAGUGUUUGGUACCAUAUUCCGUGCCAUGAUUAACUUGUGAUGAUCACACUUGUGACUACAAACUUGUUGGAUGCAUUUGCUGUUUAUUUUGAUUGUGUUUC